GAAUUGUUCGCAAUGGGCGCAAGCCUGACGACGCAACGCCGCGUGGAGGAUGAAGGUCUUCGGAUUGUAAACUCCUGUUGCCCGGGACGAAAUGUUCAGACCUAACACGUCUGAAUUUGACGGUACCGGGGGAGGAAGCCCCGGCUAACUCUGUGCCAGCCGCCGCGGUAAUACAGAGGGGGCAAGCGUUGUUCGGAAUUACUGGGCGUAAAGGGCGCGUAGGCGGCCCUCUAAGUCGAACGUGAAAUCCCUGGGCUCAACCCAGGAACUGCGUCCGAGACUGGAGGGCUAGAAUCCGGGAGAGGGAUGUGGAAUUCCAGGUGUAGCGGUGAAAUGCGUAGAUAUCUGGAGGAACAUCGGUGGCGAAGGCGGCAUCCUGGACCGGUAUUGACGCUGAGGCGCGAAAGCCAGGGGAGCAAACGGG
rnacentral:rRNA from 1 species